AUACUGGGCCUUCUCCAUGAUACUGAAACAAAUUAUAUGAGUGAUCCAGGAGUGCAGUAUUUGGUGGUGCUCGCCCACGAGAACUGGCUCUGAAGGAGCGAGGGCUAGACGAUGUUGGGAUCAACCAUGACUUGGUUCAACAAUCUGAUAGGCAGAUUGAACAUAAUGUUCCCAGGACUGAAAGAGUUCAUGGGCAUGCAAUUCCUGCACAUGACAGUGAAAAAACGGAGAAUCCUCUUCUUGAUCAAAGGACUGGGAAGAGAUUUGAGAGGAAAGAUCGGCGGCAAGACACUGAGAGAGUUGAUAUGCAGAGGAGGAACUGGCGUAAUGAGAGCCGGAGGAAAAACAGAGAGCCCAAGAAGCAGCAGCAGCAGGUAGAGAGGCCACCUUCACCCGAGACUUGGCGCAAACCUUUUGAGCAGCCAAAACCAGCCUCCCCUGACUCUAGUGGCCUGCGCUAUGGGAAAGCAGCUUCAGCCGUUGAGCUGGCUCAAGCAUACUCUAGAUCAGUCUCACAUCCAAAGACAGCCGAUCGCUUUUCAGUCCAAAGGGGCCUUCCUAGCCGGACCCAAAUGCCGUUUUCACGGCUGAUGGUUCCAACCCCAAGA